rnacentral:rRNA from 1 species
GAUGAACGCUAGCUGCAGGCUUAACACAUGCAAGUCGAGGGGAAACGUCGAGAGAGCUUGCUCUCUUAGUCGUCGACCGGCGCACGGGUGAGUAACGCGUAUCCAACCUGCCUCUGACCAAGGCAUAACCCGGCGAAAGUCGGACUAAUACCUUAUGCAGGCGUCGGAAGUCAUCCGAUGACGACGAACGAGUUCAUCGGUGAGAGAUGGGGUUGCGCCUGAUUGGCUUGUUGGCGGGGUAACGGCCCACCAAGGCGGCGAUCAGUAGGGGGUCUGAGAGGUAGGUCCCCCACAUGGGAGCUGGGACACGGUCAAUAGGCCUGCGAGACGCAGCAGUGAGGAACAGGAGGCAGUGGUCGGAAGUCUGAAACAGCCAAGUAGCGUGCAGGACGGCGGCGCUGUGGGUUGUAUGCUGCUUUUAGGCGGGGAUAGAGUGAGUGACGGGUCCGUCAUUGACGGUACCGGAUGAAUAAGGACCGGCUAAUUCCGUG